CCAAUUCUAAUCCAAACAUUUUCUUGGAAUUUUGGAAACCGGAACGAAAAAUACUGUUCCAAAUUAGAUGUUUUCGGAUCGGAAUCGGAGGAAUUCGAAAAUUUCAUUACGAUUUCCAUCUAGUUGUGAUGCAAAUCAAAAUUUUAAUAGGACGCCUUUGUAAGACCUAAUUUGUUGAUGGCUUUUGAGUCUUGAACAAGAAGUCUUUUUCUAGUAUCGAUGCCUGUUUAGAAUUCUUGAUAGUACCCAGCUUUGAUUUCACAGAAUUCAGGCAUACUAAACAGGGUUUUCCAAUUUCAGAAUUCAGGCAAAUUUUGAUUUCUCAGAAAUAAACAUGGUAUAUCUAUUUCUCAGCUAUAUUCAUUUUACAGUUUGCAGCCAUGGCUGGUUCAAUGGGAGGUCAAUACUCGAAGAGCAAAAGAAAAUCUAAAUCAAACAAGUGUGACAAAUCCAACAUGAAGCCUGAAUGAAGUCUUCAGUUCAAUCGGGCAACAAUCCUGAUGAACCAAAAGACAAGAAUCCUCAGUCAAAUUAUACGCAACACCUCGUGCACCUAACAUCGAUCGAAUCGAAACUGCAAUGAACUAGGUAAUGAGAAUUCAAUAUAUGUUUCUUGUAAAUUGGAUGUAUAGGGCAGUGCUAAUGUUUCUUCUUCCACCACAGUUGGAGGAAGUUCGUUGAGAUGAAAACGAUGUUGGCUGUUUACAGAAGUUGAUGUGGUUUGAAUGGCACUCCGGCGACCUCAACAGCCACCAGCUCCAUUCUGACCUAGAUCCAUAUAUAGUAUAUACUAGCUAGUGAGAGGUAUAUACCGAGACUCAAAUUGCCCAAAUUACACCAUGCUGACACUGAAGCAUUUAAGUUGAAUGGAUCCGAGUCUGUGAAGGAGGUGGCAGAAAUUCUGAAGAGAAGAGAUAAUGCAUCAGAAAACUUUCCGACUUUGAGAAGCAGGUUAGCAAUUUGCAGUCACAGUGCGAGGAAGAAAAGCAGAGGUUGCUGCCAGCUGGAGCCAGAGUUGCUUCAAGCUAAGAGAAAAGCUGAGCCUCUGGCUCUGGCUCUGGCUCGUUCAAAGGGAGGUAAACACUCGAUGAACGAAGGCAGUUUCUUAAUCGAAUAGGUCUGGCACGUUGAACAAAGAUGGCACAUUUAACAAAGGAGCCUGAACUAUUCAGUUCUAAGUUUCCUUCAGCACAAUCGAGCAACAAUCCUGAUGGAACAAAGGAUUUAAAAGACAAGAAUCCUCAGUCAAAUGUAAUUCAAAGAUUCGCUGUUGAAAUCUGGAUAUAGUACGACAGAAGUAAGAAACAGCAAUCUUAAGUGCUGGGCAUAUCCAUGGUCGGAUGGAUAUUCUCAAUAAUAUUUUGACAAAUUUAAUCGCUUUUAAUGAGAAAAGGGUUGAACCAACAAGCAAAAUUUUCAAGAACAUGGAUGAGUUAUACAAAAGUAUGCUAGAAACCAUUGUUGGAUCUGCUAUAGACUCCGCCAGACAUGCAAAGGUCCGAUGCCAUAUGCCAUGUUUUAGGUGGACGCCCUUUGUCCGUAUUCUGCUAAGAGAAUUCAAUCUGAAUUGAAUGCCGAUCCAUCAUUAAAUAAGGGCGGGACUAUGAAAAGUGAGAAACUGUAUGCUGAAAAUCAUAUACGUUGAAGCUAAAAAAUGCUCAAUUUAGAGCCGACACUGAAGCGUUUAAGUUGAAUGGAUCCGAGUCUGAGAGGGAGGUGGCAGAAAUUCUGAAGAGAGGAAAAUGCAUGAGAAAACUUACCGAAUUAUAUCUACUAAUUAUCUAUGUAAAUGCUGGUUGUCUUGGUAAUUAAUUUAGUUUUCGUCUCUUUUGCAUUUCCAUUUGGUUCCCUAAUCAAAUUUAUUUGCUAGACAUAUUUCUGAGAGAAUCAUUCCCACUUGUAAAAAACAUGUCUUAUUUCCUGUAUUUGGAUCUCAUUGCACAAAAAAGAAGAAAAAUAAAAUAACAGUCCUACUAUGGACUACUUCUGUUUCGUAUUUAUUUUACACAAUAUCAUUGAGAAUAUCUCUGCAGUUAUUUGCCCGAUUCUUCUCUCUCACCAAUCCCAAAUUCCGGGGUGUAUUUUCUUCACUAAUACGAGUUUUAUCGAUUUUGGUUAAUGACCAGUGACAUUUUCAUCCGGUCUUAACAAUCCUUGUUGUCUGCGUCAUUUUUUCUCUUUCUCGAAGCUCCAAAUUCAUGGUAAGUUCCCUUUUCUCGUAUUUUGAUCAGUAUCAACAAAUUUCAAUGUAGUUAUGUUCCUAUAUAGUCUUGCACGUCGCAAUUAUGUUUUAUAUGCUCCUGUUUGUUGUCAUGUUGUUUGUGUGUUUGUUAUGCGUGGAAUUCGAUUCUAAAAGAUUGGAAGUUUUUUUGCGGUGUUAGGCCUGAAUAAUCGUUUUUAAAUUGCAUGAUAAGCAGCUGGUUUUUCUGUGUAUCUUACAGCGAGCAAACAUUUUAACUAACUAGUUCUGAGAAUUAGAUCAGAUUUUCCUUCUGAUAACGAGAGUCUGCAAAGAGUACAAAAAAAUUAUCAUUUGUUCUGUUUUGUUAAUAUUGCCUUCCAUAUCUUUCUUCUCUGAAUUCCUCUUGUAUACGAUUUUGAUUAUAUGUGACUCUAAUGAUACAUUAGAACUUGUUUUUUUUUUUUUUUGUGUCUUUUAUGGAUGCAUAGAAAUUCAUCACAUCAAUUUUUCUGGGGUUUUCGAGAAUGCUGCACACGUACAGAGGUCAGUAAUUUUUCUUCUUAUUCUUUAUUAAUCUUUUGUUGCACUCUUUUGUUUCUUCUCAUUGUGAUUAAGUGUCAAACUAUUUCGGAAAACAGUUUAGCAGGUUUCAUAAUUUCAACCCUAGAUUUCAUUCUCACUUACUCAUAAUGUCUUCAGUCAUAAUAUACAACACUGGCAUACACAAUAUAGAGGAGGUUCGAUUACUAAAACAUUUGACCAAAACAUUUCUUUUCUGGAGGGGCAAUGGCCCCUCCAAAGCACGCCUCGGUUACGCGCAUGCGCACAUUUUUACGAAAAUUGUCUAUAUAUGUCUUUAGAUUACCGCGCAUUAAAUUUGACCUUAUCUUGUUUCUAACGUCCGCGUCAUUCUUAUCUGGAACGCGGAAAAUCUUAUCUCCCCAUUAAAUGAAAGGAGAUCUUUUUGCCUAUAUAUAUAUUGGUUUUCUACAUUGUUCAUCUGCAACUUUCAUUUUGCUAUUUAUUCAGUGAGUGAGAAUUAGAAUAGGUUAAGAGAGUAAGCAAUCACUUGUUCUUUACGAGCAGUUGGCCAGAACCUUCCUAUCGGAGACUCGUCCCGGAAAGAUCUGUCGCAUUCGUUUUACAGCCAAUGGACUGUAAACACUCGAAGAGCAAAGGAGCAAAUCAAAUGGCACAACCAAUAAAAAAAGCCUCGAGUAUUCGAUUCCAAGUUUGCUUUGGCAGAAUCGAGCAACAAUACCGAUGGAUGAAAGAAUAUCAAGGACAAGAAUCCUCAGUCAAAUAUAACUUACAGAUUAGGUUCAAAUAUGCUGAAGCCGAAGAUUCUUUACUGAACUCCGGAUAUAAUACGACAGAUAUUAUAUUCAUAAGUGCUGGGCAUAUUCAUGGCCAGGGGAAUCUUCUGAAGAAUAUUCCGAUAAAUAUCGAGAAGCUUUCAAGAACAUGGGUGAGUUAUACAAAGUUAUGCUAGAAAGUAUCGUGCAGACUCGCCCUUGGUCCGUAUUUCUGCUAAGAGAAUUCGAUCUGCAUUUGAAUCCUGAAAUCGAUCAUUAAAGAAGGUCGGGUUAUGAAAAAAAGGGAUCAAUUUUUCACGCCUGCGUCAGAAUCUUAUUUCACGUGGAAUGUCCUUAGUGUCCAUGAAACGACAAAUCGAGGGAAAUUCAGAUGAACAGAAAACUACUGCUCAGAGACGUACUCAGAAGAAAACGAGAAACUGGAUGCUGAAAAAUCACACGUGGUGAAGCUGAAAAAUGGUCGAAUUAGAGGCGAUACUGAAGCGUUGAAGUUGAAUGGAUCCGAGUCUGAGAGGGAGGUGGCAGAAAUUCCGAAGAGAGAGAAAAUGAAUCGGAAAACUUAAUGAAUUAAAUCUACUAAUUAUCUAUGUAAAUGCUUGACUGUAUUAUUUGUAAUUAUUUUAGUUUUCCUCUAUUUUGCAUUUCCAUUUGUUUCCCUAAUUUCAGAAAAUCACGUACUCCCACCUUGUAAAAAAACACGUCUUUAGGCGAUCGGAUAAAUGUAUGUAUUAUUAAAAUUUGAAUCUCAUUUGC